rnacentral:rRNA from 1 species
UAGGGAAUAUUGGUAAUGUGCGAAAGCGCGAACCAGCAACGCCGCGUGCACGAUGAAGGCCUUCGGGUCGUAAAGUGCUUUUAGAGAGGAUGAGGAAGGACAGUACUUUCUGAAUAAGCCUCGGCUAACUACGUGCCAGCAGCCGCGGUAAAACGUAGGAGGCAAGCGUUAUCCGGAUUUACUGGGCGUAAAGCGCAUGCAGGUGGUUUUGUAAGUUGGAUGUGAAAGCUCCUGGCUUAACUGGGAGAGGUCGUUCAAAACUGCAAGACUUGAGAUUGGUAGAGGAAAAAUGGAAUUCCGGGUGUAGUGGUGAAAUGCGUAGAUAUCCGGAGGAACACCAGUGGCGAAAGCGGUUUUCUGGACCAAUUCUGACACUCAGAUGCGAAAGCUAAGGUAGCAAACGGGAUUAGAGACCCCGGUAGUCUUAGCUGUAAACGAUGUGAACUUGGCGUCGGUGGGUUUAAAUCCAUCGGUGCCGAAGCUAACGCGAUAAGUUCACCGCCUGGGGGACUAC